GACGAACGCUGGCGGCGUGCUUAACACAUGCAAGUCGAACGGACAGGCCCUGCUUUUGCGGGGUGCUCGUGUGGCGAACGGGUGAGUAACACGUGAGUAACCUGCCCUUGACUUUGGGAUAACUUCAGGAAACUGGGGCUAAUAUCGGAUAGGAGCUCCUGCUGCAUGGUGGUGGUUGGAAAGUUUCGGCCGUUGGGGAUGGACUCGCUGCUUAUCAGCUUGUUGGUGUGGUAGUGGCUUACGAAGGCUUUGACGGGUAGCCGGCCUGAGAGGGUGACCGGCCACAUUGGGACUGAGAUACGGCGCAGACUCCUACGGGACGCAGCAGUGGAGAGUAUUGCGCAAUAGGCGGAAGUCUGAUGCAGCAACGCCGCGUGCGGGAUGACGGCCUUCGGGUUGUAAACCGCUUUCGCCUGUGACAAAGCGUGAGUGACGGUAAUGGGUAAGGAAGCACCGGCUAACUACGUG
rnacentral:rRNA from 1 species